rnacentral:rRNA from 1 species
UACGGAGGGGGCUAGCGUUGUUCGGAAUUACUGGGCGUAAAGCGCGCGUAGGCGGACCUGCAAGUCGGGGGUGAAAGCCCGAGGCUCAACCUCGGAACUGCCUUCGAUACUGCGGGUCUCGAGUCCGGGAGAGGUGAGUGGAAUUCCUAGUGUAGAGGUGGAAUUCGUAGAUAUUAGGAAGAACACCAGUGGCGAAGGCGGCUCACUGGCCCGUAACUGACGCUGAGGCACGAAAGCGUGGGGAGCAAACAGG